rnacentral:rRNA from 1 species
CCUAGGGUCGUAAAGCUCUUUCGCCUGUGAUGAUAAUGACAGUAGCAGGUAAAGAAACCCCGGCUAACUCCGUGCCAGCAGCCGCGGUAAUACGGAGGGGGUUAGCGUUGUUCGGAAUUACUGGGCGUAAAGCGCGCGUAGGCGGGUUGUUAAGUUAGAGGUGAAAUCCCGGGGCUCAACCCCGGAACUGCCUUUAAUACUGGCAACCUAGAGUUCGAGAGAGGUGAGUGGAAUUCCGAGUGUAGAGGUGAAACUCGUAGAUAUUCGGAGGAACACCAGUGGCGAAGGCGGCUCACUGGCUCGAUACUGACGCUGAGGUGCGAAAGUGUGGGGAGCAAACAGGAUUAGAUACCCUGGUAGUCCACACCGUAAACGAUGGAUGCCAGUCGUCGGGUAGCAUGCUAUUCGGUGACACACCUAACGGAUUAAGCAUUCCGCUUGGAACUUGGA